rnacentral:rRNA from 1 species
GAUGAACGCUGGCGGCGUGCCUAAUACAUGCAAGUCGAGCGAACAGACGAGGAGCUUGCUCCUCUGACGUUAGCGGCGGACGGGUGAGUAACACGUGGAUAACCUACCUAUAAGUCUGGGAUAACUUCGGGACACCGGAGCUAAUACCGUAUAAUCUAUUGAACCGCAUGGUUCAAUAGUGAAAGACGGUUUUGCUGUCACUUAUAGAUGGAUCCGCGCCGCAUUAGCUAGUUGGUAAGGUAACGGCUUACCAAGGCGACGAUGCGUAGCCGACCUGAGAGGGUGAUCGGCCACACUAGAACUGGGACACGGUCCAGACUCCUACGGGAGGCAGCAGUAGGGAAUCUUCCGCAAUGGGCGAAAGCCUGACGGAGCAACGCCGCGUGAGUGAUGAAGGUCUUCGGAUCGUAAAACUCUGUUAUUAGGGAAGAACAAAUGUGUAAGUAACUAUGCACGUCUUGACGGUACCUAAUCAGAAAGCCACGGCUAACUACGUG